rnacentral:lncRNA from 1 species
AAAAAGUUAUUAUUGUGCUGUAAUAUUAAUGAGAAUACUCCAAUUGUAAUUAUAAAUAUAUAUUUAAGCAAGGAGUAUCUACAUUUCACUCCACAUCAUAAAAUUUGUUGUUCAAAGGUAAUUAAUGAUUCACCAAUAAAUAUCACAACUGGUUACUAAUAGUAUUUUUAUUGUGACAUGAACAUAAUGAUCAUGUGUUAGACCAGUGCAAUGCAAACAUGAUGGAAAAAUGGCAAUACAGCAAAUUAAUCAAUUAGGUUAAACCAACCAAUAUGCAAUUUCUUCAUUAAUCAAUUAAUGGAAUGUUGCAAUGCAGUAAUUAAAGCAGCACUUUCAUGUCAAACUUUCAUUUCCCCAAUUGCUUCCUCUCAGGAUCUGUUCUUCAUUUCAUGAUAUCUGAUCUAGUUUUCUUUAAAACAUAAGACACAGUAGGGGCUAUUUUGUCUUAUGUAUUUUUCCUACGCUUGACCAGUUUUGUCAAAGCAAUUUUUCCACAUUACUCACCUCUCCUCCUGUGUUCUUGUGUUAAUUUGCCAAAUUUUGUCAUAACAGAAUGAGACCAGUUUGUCCAUUUGUGUUAGGACGCAAUCCGGUACUUUUUGUUUGGAUGAAAUGUCAUUCAAAUUAAAUAAAUUCCGAUCCUAUGCCUUAAGUAACCUACUGUCCCCCCCCCCUCCCCAGUGUCACGGUUCCGUAACCAGACAUAUGGACAGAUCACAGUAGGAGACAUUGCAAUACCGUUCCUUAGAGUGGCUGGGCUAUGCAAAAGGAGAGAGGUCAGUGUACUAGCCAAAGUCAAGGAGUAUAGAAAUACGGAACAACGAUAGGACAAGCCGAGGUCAAGGAUCAGAGAAGACAGAGUAAACGAGAGACAGAGCCAAAAUUCAGUAACAAACGAUCAGACAUAGUAAACGCGCUAUUGGGUUAUCAGAAGACCACAACAGGGCAACAAGGCACGGAGGAGGCAAGAUUAAAUAUGCUUAGACUACUUCUGAUUGGAUCCUUUCCACUUAGAAUUAAUUACAAUUGGAAGGUAUGACUCUUCCAGUUUGAGCCCUGACCUCAUCAUUAUGUGCAGCGUCAGGUUGCUGACUUGGGCACAUAUUUAAGCCCGCUGCAUGCAGAAGGAAUGCAGAUGGGACAAGCCACGAGCGAAGGUGCCUGAUGGGACGAGUGCCGGCGGAACCCGCCACAAUGGGAGCCGGUACGAAUGGGCAUGGGAGCGGCGGAUGGGGGCCCUAAGUUACAGUGGGGGGUGACAAUAAGAGUGCUCUGAUAGGUAAACCUUAAGCCUUGCAAGUAACCAAUCAGACAAGGCUCAAGAUUAUCCUGUCAGAGCACUCUUAUUGGUUGGCUUAAACACUCUUGUCAGGAAUACAACUGAUCCAACAUGCAGUAUUAGUAUCACACUUCAGAAUAAGGAUAACUUCUAACCGGACCUUUGAAUGGCCAGACUUAACGUACCAGCGAAUAGUCGAAAUACUAGCUGAGGUCAGGAACACAGAACAAAACACAGUUGCAAGGAACAGCCAAUAGUCAGGGAUACCAGAACAAAGCCAAUGAAACACGAUCAGGAACACACUCUCGGAUAACCAGCAAAGGGAAACCACGAAAGGGCAAUGAGUAGAAGAAAUGAGUGAGUUUAAAUAUCCCUCUUGUGAAUCCGAUUGGCCGCACCUGGCCUUUACUCCAAAAAGUGCCCGCAAGUCGACAUCGCUACCAACGUGGGGCUACAUAACAGUGUGGAUCCGCAGUGGGUCGCGUCCAUCGGCAUGUCGCAAAAGCCCGGUCUUACGGCAUAGGACGCCAAGCAGCACUUCUCCUACUCUUAUUUUUUUCUAAACCCCUCACCCCCCCCCCAAAAAAAAAACCUUCACCACCUCACUUUUUUUAGGGUGAGGGAGAUAGGUAGGCUUUUAUUUUUUAGGGUGAGGGAGAUAGGUAGGCUGCAAAUAGGUCCUAUCCCCAAUUGUCACUAGGACCUCAACCUAUCGCUUAUGGGUGGGGAGCGGAGGGGGAUGACAAUAGGUCCUCUCCCCAUUGUAAUUUAGAGCGCACACCUGCCACUCAUGGGUUGGGGACAGGACAAAAGGUCCCCCCCACCCCGAUUGUAACUUAGGACCCCCACCCGCCGCUCAUGGGUGGGGACCAGGACAAUAGGUUCCCGCCCACCCUUUUAACUUCAGGUCCCCAUUAAGCUGAAGUGGUCUGGGUGCCUAGAGUGGUCCUUUAAAUAAUGAUAAUCUGAAAUAGCAUUUAAAUCCCAGGUAUGUGCCAGGCUGAUUGGGCAUAUAAUCCAUGCCUGCUGGUCUAGCACACAGGAGGCUAAUUGUGAUAUAUUCUUACUCCCCCCCCC